GAGUUUGAUCGUGGCUCAGGAUGAACGCUAGCUACAGGCUUAACACAUGCAAGUCGAGGGCAUCAGGAAGGAAGCUUGCUUUCUUCGCUGGCGACCGGCGCACGGGUGAGUAACACGUAUCCAACCUGCCGAUGACUCGGGGAUAGCCUUUCGAAAGAAAGAUUAAUACCCGAUGGCAUAGUUCUUCCGCAUGGUAGGACUAUUAAAGAAUUUCGGUCAUCGAUGGGGAUGCGUUCCAUUAGCUUGUUGGCGGGGUAACGGCCCACCAAGGCAUCGAUGGAUAGGGGUUCUGAGAGGAAGGUCCCCCACAUUGGAACUGAGACACGGGUCCAAACUCCUACGGGAGGCAGCAGUGAGGAAUAUUGGUCAAUGGGCGCUAGCCUGAACCAGCCAAGUAGCGUGAAGAUGACUGCCCUAUGGGUUGUAAACUUCUUUUAUAUGGGAAUAAAGUGCAGUAUGUAUACUGCCUUUGCAUGUACCUUAUGAAUAAGGAUCGGCUAACUCCGUGCCAGCCGCCG
rnacentral:rRNA from 1 species